CCUACGGGUGGCAGCAGUGGGGAAUAUUGCACAAUGGGGGAAACCCUGAUGCAGCGACGCCGCGUGAGUGAAGAAGUAUUUCGGUAUGUAAAGCUCUAUCAGCAGGAACGAGACAAGACGGUACCUGACUAAGAAGCCCCGGCUAACUACGUGCCAGCAGCCGCGGUAAUACGUAGGGGGCAAGCGUUAUCCGGAAUCACUGGGUGUAAAGGGAGCGUAGACGGCUAAUCAAGUCAGAAGUGAAAACCCAGGGCUCAACUUUGGGACUGCUUUUGAAACUGAGUAGCUAGAGUGCAGGAGAGGUAAGCGGAAUUCCUAGUGUAGCGGUGAAAUGCUUAGAUAUUGCGCAGAACUCCGAUUGCGAAGGCAGCAUACCGGCGGCGAUCUGACGCUGAGGCACGAAAGCGUGGGUAUCGAACAGGAUUAGAUACCCCUGUAGUC
rnacentral:rRNA from 1 species